AGAAGGCACACCCGGAGAACUGAAACAUCUUAGUACCCGGAGGAAGAGAAAGAAAAUUCGAUUCCCUUAGUAGCGGCGAGCGAAACGGGAAGAGCCCAAACCAACAAGCUUGCUUGUUGGGGUUGUAGGACACUCUAUACGGAGUUACAAAGGACGACAUUAGACGAAUCAUCNNNAANNANGAAUCAAAGAAGGUAANAAGCCUGUAGUCGAAAAUGUUGUCUCUCUUGAGGGGAUCCUGAGUACGACGGAGCACGUGAAAUUCCGUCGGAAUCUGGGAGGACCAUCUCCUAAGGCUAAA
rnacentral:rRNA from 1 species